rnacentral:rRNA from 1 species
AUUGAACGCUGGCGGCAGGCCUAACACAUGCAAGUCGAACGAGUUGCGGACGGUUGAGUAAUUUCUGGGAAACUGCCUGAUGGAGGGGGCUAACUACUGGAAACGGUAGCUAAUACCGCAUACCAUCAGAUGUGCCCCGAUGGGAUUAGCUGGUUGGUGGGGUAACGGCUCACCAAGGCGACGAUCCCUAGCUGGUCUGAGAGGAUGACCAGCCACACGGGAACUGAGACACGGUCCAGACUCCUACGGGAGGCAGCAGGGGGGAAUAUUGCAAAAUGGGCGCAAGCCUGAUGCAGCCAUGCCGCGUGUAUGAAGAAGGCCUGCGGGUUGUAAAGUACUUUCAGCGGGGAGGCGUUACCAGAAGAAGAAGCACCGGCUAACUCCGUGCCAGCAGCCGCGGUAAUAC